rnacentral:rRNA from 1 species
UGGGGAAUAUUGGACAAUGGGGGGAACCCUGAUCCAGCCAUGCCGCGUGUGUGAAGAAGGCCUUAUGGUUGUAAAGCACUUUAAGCGAGGAGGAGGGUACUGGUAUUAAUACUACCAGGUACUGGACGUUACUCGCAGAAUAAGCACCGGCUAACUCUGUGCCAGCAGCCGCGGUAAUACAGAGGGUGCGAGCGUUAAUCGGAUUUACUGGGCGUAAAGCGUGCGUAGGCGGCUAAUUGAGUCGGAUGUGAAAUCCCCGAGCUUAACUUGGGAAUUGCAUUCGAUACUGGUUAGCUAGAGUGUGGGAGAGGAUGGUAGAAUUCCAGGUGUGGCGGUGAAAUGCGUAGAGAUCUGGAGGAAUACCGAUGGCGAAGGCAGGCAUCUGGCCUAACACUGACGCUGAGGUACGAAAGCAUGGGGAGCAAACAGG